CGAAAAGAUUGAUUGAAGAUCGAAAAAACUAUUACGCUUCUGAGGCCUCGAAAUCUUGGUUGUACCAGAAAGUUGGGUUUAAGCGCACUGUCAUGUCAGCUAGUGAUUAUAAUGCAGUUGUUCCUAUCAAGAAGAGGAGGUUUCCUUUAAUCCAAUCUUCUCCACCCAAAGAAAUAUCUUCUCUUCCAUCACUAGAUGAUAACAUAGUAAAG
rnacentral:misc_RNA from 1 species